rnacentral:rRNA from 1 species
CCUACGGGGGGCAGCAGUAGGGAAUCUUCCACAAUGGGCGAAAGCCUGAUGGAGCAACGCCGCGUGGGUGAAGAAGGUCUUCGGAUCGUAAAACCCUGUUGUUAGAGAAGAAAGUGCGUGAGAGUAACUGUUCACGUUUCGACGGUAUCUAACCAGAAAGCCACGGCUAACUACGUGCCAGCAGCCGCGGUAAUACGUAGGUGGCAAGCGUUAUCCGGAUUUAUUGGGCGUAAAGGGAACGCAGGCGGUCUAUUAAGUCUGAUGUGAAAGCCUUCGGCUUAACCGGAGUAGUGCAUUGGAAACUGGGAGACGUGAGUGCAGAAGAGGAGAGUGGAACGCCAUGUGUAGCGGUGAAAUGCGUAGAUAUAUGGAAGAACACCAGUGGCGAAAGCGGCGCUCUGGUCUGUAACUGACGCUGAGGUUCGAAAGCGUGGGUAGCAAACAGGAUUAGAUACCCCGGUAGUC